AUUGAACGCUAGCGGGAUGCUUUACACAUGCAAGUCGAACGAGUGGCGUCCGGGUGAGUCCUAUAUCGGCACGUGCCCAGUAGCGGGGGCUAACUACUCGAAAGAGUGGCUAAUACCGCAUACUCUUGGAGCGGCCCAUAUCGGAUUAUGUAGUUGGUGGGGUAAAGGCUCACCAAGGCACCGCUCCGUAGCUGGUUUGAGAGGACGACCAGCCACAAUGGGACUGAGACACGGCCCAGACCCCUACGGGAGGCAGCAGUGGGGAAUUUUGGACAAUGGGGGAAACCCUGAUGCAGCCAUCCCGCGUGUAUGAGAAGGCCUUCGGGUUGUAAAGUACUUUUGGCAGAGAAGCGGUAUCUGCAGAAUAAGCACCGGCUAACUACGUGCCAGCAGCCGCGGUAAUAC
rnacentral:rRNA from 1 species